rnacentral:snRNA from 1 species
AUCGCUUCUCGGCCUUUUGGCUAAGAUCAAAUUGUUGUAGCUGUUCAUACCAGCCUAAUCUCUGGAGUGUUAUAAUGCUGGGAACGUAAAACGUCCUGUUGAAGUAGCCACUUCACUUCCCUUACGAGGACAUUAUAAUACUAUUAAUAAAUGAGAAAUAUUACUUUUU